rnacentral:rRNA from 1 species
UAGCGGGGGGAGCAACGUUGUUCGGAUUUACUGGGCGUAAAGGGCGCGUAGGCGGCCACCGCAAGUCGACUGUGAAAUCUCCGGGCUUAACCCGGAAAGGUCAGCCGAUACUGCGGGGCUAGAGUGCAGAAGGGGCAACUGGAAUUCUCGGUGUAGCGGUGAAAUGCGUAGAUAUCUGGAGGAAUACCGGUGGCGAAGGCGGCAUCCUGGACCGGCAUUGACGCUGAGUGAGCGAAAGC